GUGCUCACUUCAGCAGCAUAUAUACUAAAAUUGAAAGGCUACAGAGAUUAGCAUGGCCCCCCCGGGCAAGGAUGACAUGCAAAUUCAUGAAGUGUUCCAUAUUUUU
ensembl:snRNA U6 U6 spliceosomal RNA